rnacentral:sRNA from 1 species
CGCAUUCGUCGGUUGUCACUUCCUUGCUGGCGGUGCACGGGACCCGGGAAGCUCCUGGGAGGACUUGCUGGCAUUUCUGAUCUCCGGAUUCCUGCAGUGUCCACGAUAUAUGAGCAGCAAUUAAAGACACCUAGAGAGUCCGCGGAAAAGCAGAAGAGAAAGUAGGAUAAAUAGCCAUCUUGAAGGUUUUCCUAAUUACUACCAAGUUGCUGUCUCCGUAUUUCAAUUUGAUUUUUUUAAAUUAUUUUUAAUUCGGGCCUUAUUUUGUUGCUCGAUGACAUUUCCAAAAGAAAAGAGCCUUCACCUGGAAACACCAGGUCACAUAAAUUGAGCUGCGGGCGGCACUGUCCUUUUCACCACAUUUAAGCACUACAGUUCACCGUGAGUUCUAGCUCCUGUCUGAAAACUCUGUACCAAAUGUUUCAGUGGCAGGUGUCAAUUUUAAAUAUUUCUCUCUCUGAAACUACCAUUUCACCAGGUGUCAAAUGGGCAGCUAGCCACAGCUGCUGCCUAAUAGUGGCAGACCGGAAAUCUUUGCUAAACCCAGGAGGGAGCACACACAUCUCUGGUUUUCACACUUGGAAUCGGCCACUACAGUCACUUUAGAAGUCUCCUGAGGAAGCCUUGGUAUUCUCUGAAGACCUAAUAGUCUGGGACAUGGGCUGCCCACCCGGGGAAAAGGAGUGUGCAUAGACCCCUGCUUCACACUCCAGGACAGCCUUUGGCUUUUGCAGCACCCAGGGGCACGUCCUUUUACUUACCUCUGUAAGUUUCGCAGAGGUCUUCUACAUUUUCCCCAACAGGGCCUUUAAAGCAAAAGUGUCUGCUCCCAGGUAGAGACAUACCGGGAAACCCCUAGUGAAUUAGUAAAAUUGCUAAUGGAGUGUACUCUUUUUAUUUUCAGUUCCCUGUAGCAUUUUGAAGACCUAAACAGACCAAAAAAAAAAAAAAAAUCACAACUUAAAGGUUCCAUUGCUUAGUUUCAGUCUUUAAACAAUUCAAACUCCUUAACUGCUACACCUACCAUUUUUAGUAGGUGCUUUGCUCUUUGUUUUCUAUUUCUAUAUCCUAUUUAUUUUCUACUUGACUUUUAAAACCAUGCAGCAACCCAUACGUGGGUUAUUGAGCUCCUAACAAAUGCUGCAUGGUUUUAAAAGUCAAGUAGAAAGGAUAUUUUAAACCAUAAAGUCUGUCAUGAACAAUGUCCAUUAGUAGAAUGUAUUAUCCCGAUGAAACACUUUAUAGGAUGACUAUUGCAUAGCUGAAGAAGUUAGAUGGAGUAAAGAAUCACAUCUUUCUUUUUAUCAGUAUUUUCCCCAAAGCCCUUUAAAGUUCAAUGAAGAAAUGUAAGAUAAUGAUCAUAAUGUACCCAUAAGUGGAAUUGUUGGUAAUUGAAAUAUAAAAUAUAGUGAAGACUACUGUUACUGAAAAGAAAGCUAUUCUUUCCUGACCCAUUUUCAAUUUACUAACUUUAAGACAAAAUGCUUUUACAUAGUUUUACACAGUUAUACGACUGUUCCAAGACCACAUAUAAACCUUUAGACUAAUGGUUAUAUGAAGAACUAGUCAAGAGAAUACUUAAGGUAUUAUCAAACUAAGAUUAUUGUCCUUAAGGCACCAGUAGAAUUUACAGAUGUAUCAUGACUUGCCAAAUAAAACUGUGCAUUUGACUGGUAGUGAAAUAUUAGCUUGAAAAACUGUUUCAGUGAAAAGUUUGGAAGUCUUUGCCUCCUUUUGGGAAAGGCUAGUAAUACAACUUCAAAAUUAUCCCCUACUUAUUUAUGGCACUGAAACCUAAAAGCACAAAACCAGGAUAUGAAUCUUGUUCCGUUUCUCUUUACAAAUCUUCUCGGAGAAUCCAGAAAAUUCCACUACUGCCGAGCUAUAUGCUACUCGUGUAUAUGAGACCCUUUGGUAGUUUUAACACGUCUGUUUUCCAGUUCCUAGCUGAUUUUUACAAGGUAAAGCUCACCAUUUCAGAAACCUGUUGAGGCACUUGAAGCGGGCAGAUAUUCUCCUUUUAGGCUGAGCACAUAACAAUAUCCCUGUGUUUCAGACACUUUGCCCUUGAGAGAAUGUGCCUGCCUUCCAGAGCACGGAAUUUAAUAGGAGGAAAA